rnacentral:snRNA from 1 species
AAGAGACAACCAGCACAUAUACUAAGAAUUGGAAGGACGCAGAGAUUAGCAUGGCCCCUGCGUGAGGAUAACACACAAAUGUAUGAAGUAUUCCAUAGUUCU